AGCCAGGCCGCCGUCUCUUCGUCCUCCAUCGCUGCCGUUCGUCGUCGGAUUCGCUGUGAGGAGCCGAGCACCGUCUCACAAAGAUCGGAGACAACGGCAGGUUCACCGCCGCCGCUCCGUCGCCGGCGACGAGCCACCGCGGCUGCCGCCUCCCUCUGAUUUCGACUCACACACACAGUAGGUUCAAGCCACAAUUUAGUUCACAAAAUAGCAUAGGAUUUUGAGCAGAAAUCAAAUACUGUAAAUGCUUAUUGAAAUCUGAAAUUCUUUUCUUGAAACUGAACUAGUCUAUAAAUUUCAGUUCA